rnacentral:rRNA from 1 species
GUCUUUUUGAUAAUAAUUUAAGGUUUAAUCUGCCCAUUGAGAAUUUAAAAGGCCGCAGUAUUUUGACUGUGCAAAGGUAGCAUAAUAAUUAGUUUUUUAAUUGAAAGCUAGAAUGAAUGAUUGGACAAGAAUAAAAUUUUUUCUUAUUUAAUGAUUUAUAAUUUUAUUUUUAAGUUAAAAAGCUUAAAUAUAUUUUAAAGACGAGAAGACCCUAUAGAGUUUAUAUAUUUAAGUUUGAAUUUUAAAUUAUAGAAUUUUUAAGAAAUUUAAAUUAUAAUAUUUAAUUGGGGUGAUUAAAAAAUUUUUUAACUUUUUUUUAUAAAAACAAAAAUUAUUGAAAUAUUGAUCUAUAUAAAUGAUUUAAAAAUUAAAUUACCUUAGGGAUAACAGCGUAAUUUUUUUGGUAAGUUCAAAUUUAUAAAAAAGAUUGCGACCUCGAUGUUGGAUUAAGAUAAAAUUUUAAUGGAGGGAUUAAAAUAUUUAGUCUGUUCGACUAUUUAAAUCUUACA